rnacentral:rRNA from 1 species
UACAGAGGGUGCAAGCGUUAAUCGGAGUUACUGGGCGUAAAGGGCGCGUAGGCGGUUAUUUAAGUUUGAUGUGAAAUCCCUGGGCUUAACCUAGGAACUGCAUUGAAUACUGGGUAACUGGAGUACUGUAGAGGGUAGUGGAAUUUCCGGUGUAGCGGUGAAAUGCGUAGAGAUGUGGAGGAACACCGAUGGCGAAGGCAGCCCCCUGGGUUAACACUGACGCUCAGGCACGAAAGCGUGGGGAGCUAACAGG